rnacentral:rRNA from 1 species
AUUGAACGCUGGCGGCAGGCUUAACACAUGCGAGUCGAGCGGGGUGAUGGUGCUUGCACUAUCACUUAGCGGCGGACGGGUGAGUAAUGCUUAGGAAUCUGCCUAUUAGUGGGGGACAACAUCUCGAAAGGGAUGCUAAUACCGCAUACGUCCUACGGGAGAAAGCAGGGGAUCACUCGUGACCUUGCGCUAAUAGAUGAGCCUAAGUCGGAUUAGCUAGUUGGGGGGGUAAAGGCCUACCAAGGCGACGAUCUGUAGCGGGUCUGAGAGGAUGAUCCGCCACACUGGGACUGAGACACGGCCCAGACUCCUACGGGAGGCAGCAGUGGGGAAUAUUGGACAAUGGGGGGAACCCUGAUCCAGCCAUGCCGCGUGUGUGAAGAAGGCCUUAUGGUUGUAAAGCACUUUAAGCGAGGAGGAGGCUCUUUUGGUUAAUACCCAAGAUGAGUGGACGUUACUCGCAGAAUAAGCACCGGCUAACUCUGUGCCAGCAGCCGCGGUAA